CGGACGGAACUAGAUUGAGUUUUCUGUCUUUGGGCAGAAGCAAGGGCUGAGGACAGGCCCAGAGACGGCUGUGCUCACACACCUGAGCCAGUGACUGAAGGACCUGCUCCGAGUCAUCGUCGAGUCCAGUGACGGAGGCCCCUGGCGACACUGCCCACGGUGCUGAGUGGCGGCUGUCUCCGGCAGGGGCUGGGCUUUCCUGCACGCACAGUGCGCUUCCUUGUCCCCGACCCCAUGAGGUAGGCCUGAGCUCGCUGACUCAGGGACAGGAAUGUGGCAUGUGGAGCCCUGGGAGACUUGGCUAAGGUCACCCGGUAGUCAGGGCAGGGGUGAGUCAGACUCCAGGUCCUGACUGCAGCCUGGCUUUCAGCCCCAGCUGCACUGAGUACAGAGCAAAGAAGAGGACUGACGGUGGGAUCGGACUAGCAGUGGAGAAGGGCAGAGGAUGGGAGCCGGGGGCAUGGAGAGGGACAGACCUCGGGGAAGACCCAGGAGAGAAAGGCGUCUGAGAAGUCGAGGGAGAACGUAUUUGAGAGAAAGACCUCUGGAGAUGACACAUACUACCACGGUCCUGUCACGUUGAAGUCUGUUUGGAUCUCUCUGUCCCCGGAUCAGUCCCUCUCGACUUGAGUCAGUUCUGUGUGCUGUGAACACUUGGGCUCCAACACGUACUCUCCAGAUAUGACUCUUGGACACUGAGCACUGUGACAUUAGUAACACUACUCUGAUCUUCGGUCUCAAUUCCUGGCCCGGAGCUUCCCAACUCCGGGAAUUUCCUGAGUGCUAAGCAAGUCCUGUGUUAUUUAGAAGGAAGCCCUGCGGCCAGGCCUGGAUUGACGCUAAUGGGAUGGAACCUCAUAGAGCUCCGUGGGAGGGGCUGGUCGUAGGCGAGGAGCGAGAACACAGAAAUUUUCCCAAGUAUUUGUUUACCCGUUGCAUUUCCUUUUGUGAAGUCCUGGUUCAUGACCUGGAACCCUGAGGGCUGGAAGAACAUGAGAACAAGAUGACAACAGGUGAUGAAUACAUUCCUCCACUCUGUCUAGGCUGUUUUUUGGCAUAUGCUGUGAGGUAAUCGAAGAACCUGAAUGUCAUUGUUCCCAAAUCACCUGCCAAAGUAUCCGUGCCUUCUGCUCUCCUGUCCUGGGACGGGGGCCCCCAUGACCCCCAUGCUCUGCAGACGUCCCUCUGCUCUCAGGAUUGCCCAGAAUCUG